UCUAACUGGAUAUGCAAGCAGGCUGGCAGCUACCACCCUUUCACCCGGCCAAUAAAGCAAAGGAUUUGCUGCAAAACCUAUAUGCUGAUGCUGUGGAGAAUAUCUGAUUUAAAACCAGUAACCCUUGUGGAAGUACUGAAUUCUACCAUCACCAAUGGGCCAGUGCAACCAUCGUUACCAUGGUGAUUACAUGCAGCGCAUCUCCCUGCAUGUUGUCUACUUCCUGUGAUCAGAUGUGGAGCCGUAUUCACUGCUAGGUGAAAUCAAUAGCCCAACACCAUCUCUGCAAAAAGCUGAAGAUGAGAUGUUUCACACCAGAGGACGAUUCACACGCACACAAGCACAGCACCUCAGGGCAGAUAACAUAUCUGCACCGCUGCAGUGUGCAGAUGACCCCCACCCCUCCCUCAGCUUGAAG